rnacentral:rRNA from 1 species
UACGUAGGGACCAAGCGUUGUUCGGAUUUACUGGGCGUAAAGGGUCCGUAGGCGGUUUAAUAAGUCAGUGGUGAAAGCCUAUCGCUUAACGAUAGAACGGCCAUUGAUACUGUUAGACUUGAAUUAGUGGGAAGUAACUAGAAUAUGUAGUGUAGCGGUGAAAUGCUUAGAUAUUACAUGGAAUACCAAUUGCGAAGGCAGGUUACUAUCACUAUAUUGACGCUGAUGGACGAAAGCGUGGGGAGCGAACAGG